AAAAUUCGGGUAAAACCGAAAAAAUUCUGUUAACUGACCGAAUUCGGUUAAUCGGUCGGUUAACCAAAUUAAUUCGGUCAAGGGUCGGUUAAUAAUUUUUUGAGUUUUCGGUUAACGGUUAAUUCGGCUCGAAACCGGUCGGUUAACUGAAUUUUUUUGGUUUAAUCGAAAAAAUUAAUAAAUAAAAGUAUAAUAUAUAAAUAGCCCACAAUUCACUCAAACCCAA
rnacentral:lncRNA from 1 species